rnacentral:rRNA from 1 species
GGAUCCAGACUUUGAUUCUGGCUCAGGAUGAACGCUGGCGGCGUGCCUAACACAUGCAAGUCGAACGAAGCUUGACGGAUGAUUUCUUCGGAAUGAAACCUGAUAUGACUUAGUGGCGGACGGGUGAGUAACACGUGAGCAACCUGCCUUUCAGAGGGGGAUAACGGCUGGAAACGGUCGCUAAUACCGCAUGAUGUGUUCGGAUGGCAUCAUCUGAACAUCAAAGAUUUAUCGCUGAAAGAUGGGCUCGCGUCUGAUUAGAUAGUUGGUGGGGUAACGGCCUACCAAGUCGACGAUCAGUAGCCGGACUGAGAGGUUGAACGGCCACAUUGGGACUGAGAUACGGCCCAGACUCCUACGGGAGGCAGCAGUGGGGAAUAUUGCAUAAUGGGGGAAACCCUGAUGCAGCAACGCCGCGUGAAGGAUGACGGUUUUCGGAUUGUAAACUUCUUUUCUUAGUGACGAAGACAGUGACGGUAGCUAAGGAAUAAGCAUCGGCUAACUACGUGCCAGCAGCCGCGGUAAUACGUAGGAUGCAAGCGUUAUCCGGAUUUACUGGGUGUAAAGGGAGCGCAGGCGGGACUGCAAGUUGGACGUGAAAUACCGUGGCUUAACCACGGAACUGCAUCCAAAACUGUAGUUCUUGAGUGAAGUAGAGGCAAGCGGAAUUCCGAGUGUAGCGGUGAAAUGCGUAGAUAUUCGGAGGAACACCAGUGGCGAAGGCGGCUUGCUGGGCUUUAACUGACGCUGAGGCUCGAAAGUGUGGGGAGCAAACAGGAUUAGAUACCCUGGUAGUCCACACUGUAAACGAUGAUAGCUAGGUGUGGGGGGUCUGACCCCUUCCGUGCCGGAGUUAACGCAAUAAGCUAUCCACCUGGGGAGUACGACCGCAAGGUUGCAACUCAAAUGAAUUGACGG